GAGCCCAACCUCCCACCCGUGUUUACUGUACCUUAGUUGCUUCGGCGGGCCCGCCAUUCAUGGCCGCCGGGGGCUCUCAGCCCCGGGCCCGCGCCCGCCGGAGACACCACGAACUCUGUCUGAUCUAGUGAAGUCUGAGUUGAUUGUAUCGCAAUCAGUUAAAACUUUCAACAAUGGAUCUCUUGGUUCCGGCAUCGAUGAAGAACGCAGCGAAAUGCGAUAACUAGUGUGAAUUGCAGAAUUCCGUGAAUCAUCGAGUCUUUGAACGCACAUUGCGCCCCCUGGUAUUCCGGGGGGCAUGCCUGUCCGAGCGUCAUUGCUGCCCAUCAAGCACGGCUUGUGUGUUGGGUCGUCGUCCCCUCUCCGGGGGGGACGGGCCCCAAAGGCAGCGGCGGCACCGCGUCCGAUCCUCGAGCGUAUGGGGCUUUGUCACCCGCUCUGUAGGCCCGGCCGGCGCUUGCCGAACGCAAAUCAAUCUUUUCCAGGUUGACCUCGGAUCAGGUAGGGAUACCCGCUGAACUUAAGCAUAUCAAUAAGCGGAGGAAA
rnacentral:rRNA from 1 species